AUCGUAUAGAUUAGAUGUUUUAUUUUUUUACAACUUUGUAUCACAUACAACAAACCUAAGGUUUCAAAAUCUAGAAUUUUGCAAAAAAAUAAGUUCUUCCUUUCACGUUCUUCUUCAUGGGAUUUAAUCACAUGGCACCCUUACACACCAUAAAAGUACUCCAUCGAAUGGAAAGAGAGGGCCUUCAAACUCUUCUUGCUCCUG
rnacentral:lncRNA from 1 species